rnacentral:tRNA from 1 species
CGGGAUGUGGCGCAGCCUGGUAGCGUGCUUGCAUGGGGUGCAAGAGGUCGUGGGUUCGAAUCCCGCCAUCCCGA